ensembl:lncRNA
GUUGAUCUGGCUGUAGGCUGUGGCACUUGGCCAGAGGUGGCGCUGGUUGACUCGAGUCCAUGUUGGUGCACAGAGCAAACUGCUCGCUUUAGUUGUGGAGCAAAAACGCUGAAUUCGGUGAAAUAAACCGUGCGAGUGGAACGAUAACGACGACAAGGGUCUCCCGAUCGUUUACUCUUGCUGUCCUGUGAACAACAACGGCGUGGUGUUACUUGUUUGCUGUUUUCGCGAUCGCGUCGCGCAUGAGGAUAUCACCAGGAGCUCCUGAAACGCAAGACUGCCACACAUCUGUUCGACCAACGCCAGUUGAUCUAAACGCCAGUUGAUCUGGAACACCGGAUCCAGAGGCCUUUAGCAGUAGCAGCGGCGGCCGCAGAUCCUCACUGCAUUCCCACCGUGUGACGUCGUUGCUGCGCGCGUGUACGUGCGCGCGCACGGAGACGUGGGGGGUCCGUCACAUCUACAGGCUGCCCCCCCCCCAAAGAAUACACUCAAAACUCCAACAUAACACAGAUACCAGACUGCUAAGUUUGAACAGAAUAACCCCACAUGUGUAAUUACACCAGUAUAUGGAUUAUAUUAAGUCUGAGACCGCCACUGAGCUCUGCUUCCCUUUGGACAAGGUGGGAAAGUCAUGUGUUUCAGCACCCGAAACAUUACCACCAGCUAUAACAGGCCAGCUUUAGUAAAACAGAGAAGCUCAGUAGAUUACUAUAAAAUAAUAUGACCAGAAUUCUCCAAAAAGGUGACUAUGGUAAAAAUUAUACAAACCAAAAUGUCUUGACGCAUGCUCAAUCAUCCAGCUAAAGAAAACACAGAAAGUUGGGGAAAGUGGGUUAAAAAAAAUGGCACAAUUAAGCAGAUAUUGUAUUAUCAUUUAGGGUAGUUUUUCCUGUGCACAACAAAGUUUUUUGGUCCCUCAUAAACAUGAAACAAUCAUUUUAUGGUUUAAUAACAGCGCUUGUGCUGACAGGUUUGGGCAAAACCUGAUACCCGAUGUUGUUAUCUCAACAUGAUCGUGUGUGUGGACCAAUGACCGUGACGUUCAGCACUCAUUUGCCUUUGUUUUGCGUGUGGGCUCGUUAUCGUGUUGCAGCACGAGAACUGUCAACAUAGAGUUGGGUGAAGAGAGUAGGAUAGGGUGAAGGUGAUUCAGUACUGGUGUCCAGCUCCAGACUUGAUUAGCACUAUGUUUCAUUUUGGGUCUAAUACAUUACAGUUUCAUUCUGUCUCUUGUUUAUCUGCACACUUCUGUCACUGUCACAAAUGCCAAACUUGGAUUAAUCAGUAAACAGGAACUUUUUUCCCAGGUAGCCGCUGUAAAUAGCCACCAUAUGACCUUGUUCGAUGACUCUUGCUUUUCCUCGUUUGAGUUCACUCUUAGGCAACCUCCUUCUAGAGCAACUUUUUCUCGCUUAAGCAUUGCACUUUUUAAAAAUCUUUUUUGAAACAAAUCAUUUGCACCGAGGCUGCUUCUUCAUCUCUCACUGAAAAAAACUUGAUCUUGUUAUCGAUCUUCUGAUGGUGGUGUGCACAAUAACACUUUGGAAACAAAUGAUCUAGUCUCAAAGUGUUUCAGAGUGUCAGGCUAGCCACUAGUUCACUCUGAGGAAGCACCUCUUUGGCAAACAUAGCUCUGAUGCCAUGUUUGCCAACUUACCACUGAUACUAAGCCCUUGGAUUGGUUCCAUCUGAAGGAUACCACUCAUGCAGAUUGGAUUGUCUAUUGUCAACAAAAAAGGCAAUUAAACAUUGUAUUUUUGUAUUAUUGUACGGUCUUUACUUUAUAAUAUAAAGCACCUUGAGGCAACUGUUGCU